UAUCUAAUACAAGUGUGUAUAAUCCAUUUCUUGGUUCAUCAAGAUGGGAAGGUCUUCAGAAAUAUGCUAGUGUUCUUGUUAAAAUUAAAACAAUAUUAUAGCCUACAGUAUUUUGAGCGCGAUAACAAUCAUCGAUAGGCUUUCUUUGUUGGUUUUAUGAAAGCCACUCCGUAGCUCGGCUAUGCAGCUAAUUUGUGUUCGGCAGAAACACGUCACGCGAUCACAUUGAAACCGCAUGGCCGGCAUGCUACUAAUUGUCUGCCAUACAAACACGUACUAGGUGCGAUGUUUUUUCCGGAAGUGUUUCCGUUGGACUGUGGAGUUUGGAGGUUCAGGACUGUGUCAGGUAUAAUUGUAGAAAAAAAGACGAAAAGAAUGUCGGUCAUGAAAACCCUGACUCUAAGAACUGCUUUUGAUGAUUGACCGACUAAUGCCAGCUGACCAAAAGUUACCUCAGUCACCUGCUGCGGUGGAAAAAAAGACCAGGAAGCAGUGGACCUACAGUUUCUUUUUUUAAAAGCUUGAGCCCAAACCUCCACGAGGGUGCGCGUUUAUACAAUGAAGUUCCUGUCAUUGGUUGGCCGAAGGUAACGGCAGCUGUCCUGGACCAGCUGGUGUUUGCGGGAGUGCGGUUUUUUUUGGCUGCUGAAGCGGGGGGGGGGGGUACGUACACGCGCCUGUCCUUUCCCCGUUGCAGGACGAUCUUCUCAGCGCCAAGCUUGGGGAACAAGGGGUUGAUGACGCUGUUGUCCCAGAUGAACUUCAUUUUGGUCACUUCGCCCGCGUCCGUCUCGGUGUCGAUGUACGCUUCGUACGUGUUCCCGGGGUUAAGGAGACCCCUGUGAAGAUUAGAAUGAGAGCGUCAGUCCGUAUCACUGGAUCAAGGGGGGAAAAAUUAGGGUGUAAUGGAAAAAUGACACAACAGUGUACAAGCUGGCUGUAGUCUGUCGACCCUUAUCUGUACACCCAUAAGGUGUAAGUUAAGAAGUUGAGGGUUGGAUGCACGUUAAGUUGGACGAAAUCAUGUUUAGGAGUCACGCGGUGGCUCUUCCCGAAUAGGGACUUUAUCCAAAAUAACAGCGCUUACUUUCUAAUCUGAUAUUGUCUCGUGUUGCCUUGGGUCCCGUAGAUGGCCACGCUCAUUGUCCCAGUCAGGAGAAGCGCUCGGUUGCCCCUGAUUGUGACCGUCACUUUGUAGC